rnacentral:snoRNA from 1 species
GUGAGUGAUGAAUAGUUCUGGGCAUAUAAAUCAUUCAUUUUGAUUAAACCCUAAACUCUGAAGUCCAU